UACGGGAGGCAGCAGUGGGGAAUAUUGCACAAUGGGCGCAAGCCUGAUGCAGCCAUGCCGCGUGUAUGAAGAAGGCCUUCGGGUUGUAAAGUACUUUCAGCAGUGAGGAAGGGGGUGUCGUUAAUAGCGGCAUCUCUUGACGUUAGCUGCAGAAGAAGCACCGGCUAACUCCGUGCCAGCAGCCGCGGUAAU
rnacentral:rRNA from 1 species